rfam:Ictidomys tridecemlineatus contig040344, whole genome shotgun sequence.
GGGGUUGUGGCUCAGUGUAGAGCACAUGCCUAGCACGCAUGAGGCCCUGGUUUCAAUCCUCAGCAUCACAU